rnacentral:tRNA from 1 species
GGUCCCGUAGCUCAGUAGGAUAGAGCGGCAGAUUCCUAAUCUGUAGGUCGCAAGUUCGAUUCUUGCCGGGAUCACCA